AAUCAAUAAGCUUUUAAAGUAUAUAUUUUGAAAAUAUAAAAAAGAAAUUAAAAUUUUCUAUUGAUUU
rnacentral:tRNA from 1 species